rfam:Triticum aestivum genome assembly, contig: Triticum_aestivum_CS42_TGACv1_scaffold_578311_7BL
AUGGUACUCCUUUCGUCCAGAAUUACUUGUCACAAAAAUGUAUGUAUCUAGAUAUAUUUUUAGUUUUAGAUACACCUAUUUCUAUCAUUUUUGUGACAAGUAAUUUGAAACGAAGGGAGUACUUG